rnacentral:rRNA from 1 species
AUUGAACGCUGGCGGCAGGCUUAACACAUGCAAGUCGAGCGGGGGAGGUUGCUUCGGUAACUGACCUAGCGGCGGACGGGUGAGUAAUGCUUAGGAAUCUGCCUAUUAGUGGGGGACAACAUUCCGAAAGGGAUGCUAAUACCGCAUACGCCCUACGGGGGAAAGCAGGGGAUCUUCGGACCUUGCGCUAAUAGAUGAGCCUAAGUCGGAUUAGCUAGUUGGUGGGGUAAAGGCCUACCAAGGCGACGAUCUGUAGCGGGUCUGAGAGGAUGAUCCGCCACACUGGGACUGAGACACGGCCCAGACUCCUACGGGAGGCAGCAGUGGGGAAUAUUGGACAAUGGGCGGAAGCCUGAUCCAGCCAUGCCGCGUGUGUGAAGAAGGCCUUUUGGUUGUAAAGCACUUUAAGCGAGGAGGAGGCUCUUUUGGUUAAUACCCAAGAUGAGUGGACGUUACUCGCAGAAUAAGCACCGGCUAACUCUGUGCCAGCAGCCGCCGUAAUAC